rnacentral:rRNA from 1 species
UACGAAGGGGGCUAGCGCUGCUCGGAAUUACUGGGCGUAAGGCGCACGUAGGCGGCUUUCUAAGUCGGGGGUGAAAUCCUGGAGCUCAACUCCAGAACUGCCUUCGAUACUGGAAAGCUCGAGUCCGGGAGAGGUGAGUGGAACUGCGAGUGUAGAGGUGAAAUUCGUAGAUAUUCGGAAGAACACCAGUGGCGAAGGCGGCUCACUGGCCCGGUACUGACGCUGAGAUACGAAAGCGUGGGGAGCAAACAGG